rnacentral:rRNA from 1 species
GACCAGACUCCUACGGGAGGCAGCAGUGGGGAAUAUUGCACAAUGGGGGAAACCCUGAUGCAGCGACGCCGCGUGAGCGAUGAAGUAUUUCGGUAUGUAAAGCUCUAUCAGCAGGGAAGAAGAUGACGGUACCUGACUAAGAAGCCCCGGCUAACUACGUGCCAGCAGCCGCGGUAAUACGUAGGGGGCAAGCGUUAUCCGGAUUUACUGGGUGUAAAGGGAGCGUAGACGGCGAUGCAAGCCAGAUGUGAAAGCCCGGGGCUCAACCCCGGGACUGCAUUUGGAACUGUGUGGCUGGAGUGUCGGAGAGGCAGGCGGAAUUCCUAGUGUAGCGGUGAAAUGCGUAGAUAUUAGGAGGAACACCAGUGGCGAAGGCGGCCUGCUGGACGAUGACUGACGUUGAGGCUCGAAAGCGUGGGGAGCAAACAGGAUUAGAUACCCCUGUAC